UACGUAGGGUGCAAGCGUUAAUCGGAAUUACUGGGCGUAAAGCGUGCGCAGGCCGCUAUGUAAGACAGAUGUGAAAUCCCCGGGCUUAACCUGGGAACUGCAUUUGUGACUGCAUGGCUAGAGUACGGCAGAGGGGGAUGGAAUUCCGCGUGUAGCAGUGAAAUGCGUAGAUAUGCGGAGGAACACCGAUGGCGAAGGCAAUCCCCUGGGCCGGUACUGACGCUCAUGCACGAAAGCGUGGGGAGCAAACAGG
rnacentral:rRNA from 1 species